CUACGGGCGGCACCAGUGGGGAAUAUUGCACAAUGGGGGAAACCCUGAUGCAGCAACGCCGCGUGAAGGAUGAAGGUUUUCGGAUUGUAAACUUCUUUAGUCGGGGACGAAGAAUGACGGUACCCGAAGAAUAAGCCACGGCUAACUACGUGCCAGCAGCCGCGGUAAUACGUAGGUGGCAAGCGUUGUCCGGAAUUACUGGGUGUAAAGGGCAUGUAGGCGGGUUUGUAAGUCAGAUGUGAAAUUCCGGGGCUCAACCCCGGCGCUGCAUCUGAAACUAUAGAUCUUGAGUGCUGGAGAGGAAAGCGGAAUUCCUAGUGUAGCGGUGAAAUGCGUAGAUAUUAGGAGGAACACCAGUGGCGAAGGCGGCUUUCUGGACAGUAACUGACGCUGAGGCGCGAAAGCGUGGGGAGCAAACAGGAUUAGAUACCCUUGUAGUC
rnacentral:rRNA from 1 species